AGCGAACGCUGGCGGCAGGCCUAACACAUGCAAGUCGAACGGCUCUUCGGAGCAGUGGCGGACGGGUGAGUAACGCGUGGGAACGUGCCCUUUGGUUCGGAACAACACAGGGAAACUUGAGCUAAUACCGGAUGAGCCCUUCGGGGGAAAGAUUUAUCGCCAUUGGAGCGGCCCGCGUUGGAUUAGGUAGUUGGUGGGGUAACGGCCCACCAAGCCGACGAUCCAUAGCUGGUCUGAGAGGAUGAUCAGCCACACUGGGACUGAGACACGGCCCAGACUCCUACGGGAGGCAGCAGUGGGGAAUCUUGCGCAAUGGGCGAAAGCCUGACGCAGCCAUGCCGCGUGUAUGAUGAAGGUCCUAGGAUUGUGAAAUUCUUUCACCGGGGACGAUAAUGACGGUACCCGGAGAAGAAGCCCCGGCUAACUUCGUGCCAGCCGCCGCGGUAAAAC
rnacentral:rRNA from 1 species